ensembl:lncRNA
CGCUGACGUCUGCAGUGUGGAGUGGCUGGUCGUCUAGCUGGGCGGGGUGCCGUUGCUGUUGCUGUCUUGAGAAGUGGAGCCAGAAGCCUCGUCAAACCACCUGCGGUCCGAACGCGCCUUUCCGGUUGAGUCGCUGAAACGUGUUUAGCUUAAGCCAGUUUGAGCUGCACGUUUUGAUACUUGCCCGAUAAAACGUCAGAAUUGAAACAUACUACCAGAACGACCUGCAGAAAAAUUCCUUUUUCAUGUCCUAGGUACGAAUGCUGUGAGCAGGGACAAACUUGACAAUUUGGAGGAACAGCAAGGAGGCAGGACAGGAGGUUACAGGU